ensembl:lncRNA
AAAAAAAAAAGGGAGGGAAAACAAACAGACACAAGGAAUAACCAGCAAGAGGCCACAGAGACAACGAUUCCAAGAACGAGUUGAGACGCGUCGCUGCAGCUCGGGCGAGGCGCUGAAAACACACCCGUCAACGCAAAGGUCAGGAGGCUCAUCACCUGACCACAGCAUCCUCCUCCAUAUUAAUAGAUCUACAUAAACAUAACAUAUCGUCUCUGCCCACCUGCCCACGUGCACACAUCUUAACGUGUGUGCACGUGACGCAUCCCUUUCUUUCCUGCCUCUUUCCCUUUCCUUCUCUUUGUGUCUGUGAGCUUCAUCGUGUGCCUGCUCCGUUGUCUCAGCUAACCACCGUGGGCCAUCCAUUUUUAACACAGCCCAUAAGACCCUGCCAAUGGACACCACUACCAGUUAAUUAUUUAGGUUUAACUGCACCAUCCGACUACUGCACUUUAAGCCUGAGUCUC